UAAUGCCUUAGCCGCACGAACCGGGACCAAUGCUCACAUUAGUCCCGGUUCGUGACUGAACUGGGACUAAUGUUAAUAUUGUCCUGUGACCAAAGUCUUGUUUUCUACUAGUGUUCCCUCGCAUUUUUUUUUGCUCGCUCCCGCCGCUCACCCGCGUAGAAAUAGAGAGAGGGGGGAAAAGAAACAAAACCGAACCAUAUCCAUCCAACCCCUCGUCUGACACAGAACGCCACAGCUCCUACUUGAAGACCGAUCGGCGGCGAGGACGGCAGCAGAUGGCCGAGCGACGCGGCCACAUCCGGACGGCGAGCAGCAACCAUCGGCAAGCUGGAGAGCAUCUACCGCCGACCAGCCGGCCUUCAAGCUCCAGCGGCAUCCAUCUGCCGCAGAUCUCUUCAGAUGGGUGAUCAAGGCAGGAUGAUAGACUUCGGAAGUCAAGGACUUGAUGACCCUGAAUUCAGUCAAAGGACUACAAUACCACAUCCAAAUAUUGGUCACCAUCAGGACAGUGGUUGCUGUCCGUGCUAGAAGCUGUUGGAGGGGGUCCUUCUUUGGUUAGCUAACCACAAACAGAAGAUGAGAUAUAUGCGUAUGCUGUGUAUUUUGAUCUCCAUAAUCGGUUCAUAUAUAUAGAGGAGAGAUGCCUACAGCCAUGUGUGUAACGGCUAGUUGCUUCAAAUUAAAAUAUUAUUUCUUUAUGUUUCCUAUGUGUGUUCCCAUCCUGUGAACCAAACGGCAUUCAAUUUUCUUUUCCUA